AGAGUUUGAUCCUGGCUCAGGAUGAACGCUGGCGGCAUGCCUAAUACAUGCAAGUCGAACGAAGUCUUUAGGAAGCUUGCUUCCAAAGAGACUUAGUGGCGAACGGGUGAGUAACACGUAGGUAACCUGCCCAUGUGCCCGGGAUAACUGCUGGAAACGGUAGCUAAAACCGGAUAGGUAUGAGGAAGGCAUCUUCCUCAUAUUAAAGCACCUUCGGGUGUGAACAUGGAUGGACCUGCGGCGCAUUAGCUGGUUGGUGAGGUAACGGCCCACCAAGGCGAUGAUGCGUAGCCGACCUGAGAGGGUGAACGGCCACAUUGGGACUGAGACACGGCCCAAACUCCUACGGGAGGCAGCAGUAGGGAAUUUUCGUCAAUGGGGGGAACCCUGAACGAGCAAUGCCGCGUGUGUGAAGAAGGUCUUCGGAUCGUAAAGCACUGUUGUAAGUGAAGAAUGCCACAUAGAGGAAAUGCUAUGUGGGUGACGGUAGCUUACCAGAAAGCCACGGCUAACUACGUGCCAGCAGCCGCGGUAAUACGUAGGUGGCAAGCGUUAUCCGGAAUUAUUGGGCGUAAAGAGGGAGCAGGCGGCAGCAAGGGUCUGUGGUGAAAGCCUGAAGCUUAACUUCAGUAAGCCAUAGAAACCAGGCAGCUAGAGUGCAGGAGAGGAUCGUGGAAUUCCAUGUGUAGCGGUGAAAUGCGUAGAUAUAUGGAGGAACACCAGUGGCGAAGGCGACGAUCUGGCCUGCAACUGACGCUCAGUCCCGAAAGCGUGGGGAGCAAAUAGGAUUAGAUACCCUAGUAGUCCACGCCGUAAACGAUGAGAACUAAGUGUUGGAGAGAUUCAGUGCUGCAGUUAACGCAAUAAGUUCUCCGCCUGGGGAGUAUGCACGCAAGUGUGAAACUCAAAGGAAUUGACGGGGGCCCGCACAAGCGGUGGAGUAUGUGGUUUAAUUCGAAGCAACGCGAAGAACCUUACCAGGGCUUGACAUCCCACUAACGAAGCAGAGAUGCAUUAGGUGCCCUUCGGGGAAAGUGGAGACAGGUGGUGCAUGGUUGUCGUCAGCUCGUGUCGUGAGAUGUUGGGUUAAGUCCCGCAACGAGCGCAACCCUUGUCUUCUGUUACCAGCAUUGAGUUGGGGACUCAGGAGAGACUGCCGGUGACAAACCGGAGGAAGGUGGGGAUGACGUCAAAUCAUCAUGCCCCUUAUGGCCUGGGCUACACACGUACUACAAUGGCGCCUACAAAGAGCAGCGACACCGCGAGGUGGAGCGAAUCUCAUAAAGGGCGUCUCAGUUCGGAUUGAAGUCUGCAACUCGACUUCAUGAAGUCGGAAUCGCUAGUAAUCGCAGAUCAGCAUGCUGCGGUGAAUACGUUCUCGGGCCUUGUACACACCGCCCGUCAAACCAUGGGAGUUGGUAAUACCCGAAGCCGGUGGCAUAACCGCAAGGAGUGAGCCGUCGAAGGUAGGACCGAUGACUGGGGUUAAGUCGUAACAAGGUAUCCCUACGGGAACGUGGGGAUG
rnacentral:rRNA from 1 species